rnacentral:rRNA from 1 species
AUGCCGGCGCCGAUGCCACCGUCGCAGCAGCUUGACAUGUGGAGCGCCAUCCAGGCCCCGGUCGACGACGACUGCGCCACCAAGGCCCUGCACACGCCGGCUAAGGCCAAGGCCGGCUACCCGGUGCCGACGGCGCGGCGGUCCAUGAGCCACGAGAGCCUCAGCCUCUGCACCGAGAGCCUCGGCUGCGAGACCGGCACCCGCGGCGACUUCCUCGACCUGGCGUCCCUCCUCUACGCACCGCCGCCGACUUCCCACCAGACCGACGAUGCCGUCGCCGCCGACUUCUUCUCGCCGCUGGCAUUGCAAGAAGACGACGAGGAGGAGGAGGAGGUGACCAUUAGGGAGGUACAGUACCACCGCGCUCGGCCGCAGCGCGCGUUCCCGCCUCCGCUGACGUCCAUGUCGCGCCGCCGCGGCGACGAUGCCGGGCCGUGCCUGCGGGUGCGCUCGCUCCGCCGCGACGGGCGCCUCGUGCUGGAGGCCGUGGCCGCGAAGCCCCAGGGGUACCUCCAUGCGCAGCGCGAGGACGGCCGCCUCAAGCUCUGCUUCGUGGACUGCUCCUCUGCCUCGGCCUCUGUUCGCGAACAUGAGAAGCAGAGCAUGGUGCAACCGCAGCAUGGAAACCAGAAGCUGAGCAUGGUGCAACAGCCACAUCAUGACGAGGAGGAGGAGGAGGAGGAGGAGGAGGAGGACGUGGAGGUGGUUGACAGGGGCACGGUGGUGGAGGUGGUGGCGGCGUCCGGCAAGGCGCAGCGGUGCUCCAGGAUAGUCAUCAACAAGUUCGUGGGCGGCGCGCCGGCCACCGACGACCUGAACGCGACCCCAUUCCCAUCGCGCGGCUACAGAGCUUCUGAGGAAGAAGCCGCUCAGCCAGCGACGCCGGGGCUGCGCCGGGUGCCGUCGUCCACGACCACGCUGGCUGCCGCGGUGGCCGCCGCGUCCACGGGCAUGCAGUCCGGCCAGGAGGACGAGGAAGAGGCUGACCAGAAGGGCGAGGAGGAGAGCGCGCCGCUGCUGUUCACGUCGCGGGUUGGGGACAGGCAGGAGCUGGUGCGGAGCGUGCGGCGGUGCCGGCAGCUCCGGCAGAGGCCGCUCUUCAUCGUCGAGCCAUACUCCAUCAUCGCCUCCUGA